rnacentral:piRNA from 1 species
UCUGCUAUAGGCUUCAGAUGCUGUCAUGGU